AUACGGAGGAUCCGAGCGUUAUCCGGAUUUAUUGGGUUUAAAGGGAGCGUAGGCGGAUUAUUAAGUCAGUUGUGAAAGUUUGCGGCUCAACCGUAAAAUUGCAGUUGAUACUGGUAGUCUUGAGUGCAGCAGAGGUAGGCGGAAUUCGUGGUGUAGCGGUGGAAUGCUUAGAUAUCACGAAGAACUCCGAUCGCGAAGGCAGCUUACUGGACUGUAACUGACGCUGAUGCUCGAAAGUGUGGGUAUCAAACAGGAUUAGAUACCCUGGUAGUCCACACAGUAAACGAUGAAUACUCGCUGUUUGCGAUAUACAGCAAGCGGCCAAGCGAAAGCAUUAAGUAUUCCACCUGGGGAGUACGCCGGCAACGGUGAAACUCAAAGGAAUUGACGGG
rnacentral:rRNA from 1 species